rnacentral:lncRNA from 1 species
CUGUUAUGUACAAUUUCAUCAUUUCUGUCCAGAAACUUUAUAGCAGGUUUGUCCAUGUGACAUUUGUUAUGUUAUGUAGCGUGUUGCUAAUAAUUCUACAAUGGAAUACAUAUAUCAUCUUUAGAAAAGCUGUAAGAAUAUAACAAAUACAGUGAUCAAUGUGCAUAUCUGUUAGGGAGGCUCCUUCUAUAUUUAUAAUUACCAUCUUUGUUUCAUGACAUGCACUCGUAUUCCUCUCCCCUACUCACCCAAAAGUGAUGUGUUGACCUAGAAAUAUCUCUGUAUUGCGACAUCCAUCGUCUCCUAUUUCUUUCGUUCCAUUUUUAAGUCAUUAUUUUGAGGUCAUG